rnacentral:tRNA from 1 species
ACACUUUUAAUAUAUUUAGUAUAUUUGAUUUCCAAUCAAAAAGUUUGACUCAAACAGUGUA